rnacentral:rRNA from 1 species
GACAGAGGGUGCAAACGUUGUUCGGAAUUACUGGGCGUAAAGGGCGCGUAGGCGGCCAUCUAAGUCAGACGUGAAAUCCCCCGGCUUAACCUGGGAACUGCGUCUGAUACUGGAAGGCUUGAGUAUGGGAGAGGGAUGUAGAAUUCCAGGUGUAGCGGUGAAAUGCGUAGAUAUCUGGAGGAAUACCGGUGGCGAAGGCGGCAUCCUGGACCGACAUUGACGCUGAGGAGCGAAAGCUAGGGGAGCAAACGGG